GAUGAAGAACGUAGCGAAAUGCGAUACGUAAUGUGAAUUGCAAAUUCAGUGAAUCAUCGAGUCUUUGAACGCACAUUGCGCCCCUUGGUAUCCCGAGGGGCAUGCCUGUUCGAGCGUCAUUUCACCACUCAAGCCUGGCUUGGUGUUGGGCGACGUCCUCUUUGGGGACGCGCCUCGAAACGCUCGGCGGCGUGGCACCGGCUUUAAGCGUAGCAGAAUCUUUCGCUUUGGAAGUCGGGGCCCCGUCUGCCGGAAGACCUGCUCGCAAGGUUGACCUCGGAUCAGGCAGGGAUACCCGCUGAACUUAAGCAUAUCAAUAAGCGGAGGA
rnacentral:misc_RNA from 1 species